rnacentral:snoRNA from 1 species
GUGAUGUCAACUCUGGGGUCCGACCUGUGACGACACUGACCUGCCCUGA